rnacentral:rRNA from 1 species
AUUGAACGCUGGCGGCAUGCCUUACACAUGCAAGUCGAACGGCAGCACGGGUGCUUGCACCUGGUGGCGAGUGGCGAACGGGUGAGUAAUACAUCGGAACAUGUCCUGUAGUGGGGGAUAGCCCGGCGAAAGCCGGAUUAAUACCGCAUACGAUCUCCGGAUGAAAGCGGGGGACCUUCGGGCCUCGCGCUAUCGGGUUGGCCGAUGGCUGAUUAGCUAGUUGGUGGGGUAAAGGCCUACCAAGGCGACGAUCAGUAGCUGGUCUGAGAGGACGACCAGCCACACUGGGACUGAGACACGGCCCAGACUCCUACGGGAGGCAGCAGUGGGGAAUUUUGGACAAUGGGCGAAAGCCUGAUCCAGCAAUGCCGCGUGUGUGAAGAAGGCCUUCGGGUUGUAAAGCACUUUUGUCCGGAAAGAAAUCCUUGGCUCUAAUACAGUCGGGGGAUGACGGUACCGGAAGAAUAAGCACCGGCUAACUACGUG